CCUUGACUUGACUCAAAAAGUGUCCACUGUAUUUAGAUUGUGGUAUUUGGCCUGACCUUUAUUCUUGCCUACAUCAUCCCUGACCGGCCAAAGAAACUGGACAAUCAAAUAAAGAGAGAGGCUUUCCUGGCUAAGAAUAUACUACGCUCAGACCAAGGAACUAUCGGUAACUGAUGACGUUACACGGUACAUGAUAUAUAUUAUAUAUUUCUUUUAACCAAAGGAGUUGGUACCGCUGAUCUAUUGGUACCUCUUCCGCAGUCAUCUCACCCGAGGAAUUGGGUGGUUGGAAAAACACCCAUUCGCAGGUAGAGAUGCCUGCGCAGGAGACUAGUUGUAUUAUACCAAUGUAUAUUUUAAAACUUGAUUUGCGCCUUGUUGCAUGGACAGUAAAUCUUCUGUUAAGCGCUCUUCUUCGCCCCCCCCCCCCCCCCUCCUGCCUCAGCCCCCUUGCCAUUUUUUGGUUGGAAAAUCUGCCUUCCCUUAUAAAUGUUCCAAUUAUCGCCCCCGGGCGCUUAAUAGAGGAUUUACAGUAAAUUAAGCAAUGUUCUUACAGCUAAACAAUUUGGGGAUAUAGUAGAUGUUUUAAUUCUAAAAUGUUUUAAUUCUAAAAUGUUUUGACAUAAUAACUAUAUGAUUUUAACUAUACUGUGAUCAUGAUACUACGCCAGAUUAAUAACCUAUACUUAUGGCGUGCAAACAUUUUGAAUACAUAUUCAAAACGCUUUUAAAAUAAUUGUACGCCCAAGAAAUAACCAACCUUUGUGUAUUUCAUGAAGUUAUACUUUAACGGGGUCUUUCAGGUGUCAGCUAAAUAAAAUCCAUGGGUCAGCCAUUCAAAGCACGAUCAGCGCUAACCGUGGGCUAAAUUUAUCCCAUGCCAUUGCCCGCAAAGCAGGCACUCGAGGGUUAGGAUGAAACAUAGAGCCUUCUCGCAGGUUACGAAACCGGAAACCCGGGGAUUUUUUUAGAACCAAGCUGUAUGUAAGUCUAGUAUAGACAAUAAAACACCCUAAUAAUGUUUGCGGGUUUCUAUGCUGUAUUAGGGACAAAAACGAAUUUUGUUUCCCUUUUCAAAAUUUAAAGACAAAUUUUGUUCUGGGCUUUCAAGGCACGAAUUCACACGUAACACGUCGACGUUCCUGCCGUGAGCUAGGGUCUUGUGUUAUCAGGGCUGCAAAUUACUGUCGGACAUCGGACAAUGUCCGACUAAAUUUGGCAAAUGUCCGAGCAAAAGUAAUUUUGAUCGGACAUUGGUCUGAUCACAAAAAAAUUGUCACAUUAUACAUUUUUUUGCUGUCACAAAAUCCGAUUGCAAAUUCACUCAAUUUGCAUUUUGCAAUAAUAUUUAUGAGGCAUUCUAGCAUUUAACUUAACAUUGCAUCGUAAUGGCUAUACAUACUUUUCUCGUG